GUUUCUGAACCUCAAGAAAAGAUUUUUGAGUGAGGAGAAGUAAAGGUACCUUCCGUGUCAUUACGUAAGCAUCUCCUGCUUUGAGGAUUACAGGAAUUACCACCCGCAGCCAGCCGGGAGCUCCGCUGCCUAUUACACCUGCCGGACCCAGGCUCUCUCAGCUCAGCCCGAGGCUGGGCAGCCAAAGCCGCCUGCGAGUAUUCGGGAACUGUCGGCGGACGCGUCUCCAAACCGUGCCGAGAUACUAGCGCGAAAGGGGUUUUCUCAGACGGACGUUCAGUGAGAAAAUGAAGGCACAGAGGAGACAAUGUUCUCAAGUUCGCAUAACUGGGUCUUGCUCUGUCUCCCAGGAUCCAGGAUGGAGUGCAGUGGCAUGAUCAUGGCUCACUGUAGCCUCGAACUUCCUGCUUCAGCCUCCUGAGUAGCUGGAACUACAGACCUAAAAGGAUCAGACUCCUAGGAGUUUGUGAACCACACUUUGAGAACUGCUGGCUUAGAGAAAUAUCGUAGAAAAUUGUGAAGGACAUCAACUGUUUUAACUGCCUAGAGUAUCCCUUUCUUCAG